UUCUGGACCCAAUGGCACUGACGGAAUUGGGUUCUGAUGCACGGUUGUCGAGAAAAAGGGGUUUAAUGGAAAUUACAUGUAAUAAUAUAAGUGGUUUAUGGGUGGAGAUUGAGAGGGCAGGAUUCGUCGCUGAUCGGAGACCAAAUCAGACGAAAUAAAAUGCUAGAUUCGAUGCCCCAGUCGUGCUGAACGCGCUGGCGCAAUCCGUUCGGAAAUCCGACGGACGGAUCUUCGGGAAUCGUGAAAUGUCCGCUGAGAGGUCAAGUUGGCAAGAUCGAUUAUUCGCGGAAACGUCCAAUAUUUUAUGCGCGAUCUUGCACGAAUUUGAAUGUCGAGGGACCUGUAUGCGUAAUCCACUCGUUGGCAGGG
rnacentral:lncRNA from 1 species